rnacentral:lncRNA from 1 species
GGGAGGCUGAGGGCAGGAGAACGGCGUGAAACCGGGAGGCGGAGUUUGCAGUGAGCCGAGAUCGCCCCACUGCACUCCAGCCUGGGCGACACAGCGAGACUCCGUCUCAAAAAAAAAAAAACAAACAAACAACAAAAAAAAAAACUCAGAGCAGAUAUUAUAGCGUAUGUGAAUUAUUAAUUUACUUUGUUUUCCCAUGGCCAACUCACCUGUUCUAAGCCACAGCCACCUGGCACCUUCAAUUUGAAAUGUAUAAGGCAUAAGCUAUACGUUCCUCAUGGAAAGAGUAAAAGUUAUUUUAUAGCCAUACCAAGAUUGGAUUUCGGGUGUACUAUUUAUAAGCUGUGUAAUAACGUUGGACAAAUUACUUAACCUCUGUGAAACUCAGUUUUCUCUUUUAUUUUAUUUUACUUUAUUUUAUUUUUUUUAGACGAGUCUCGCUCUGUCACCCAGGCUGGAGUGCAGUGGCGUGAUCUCGGCUCACUGCAACCUCUGCCUCCCGGGUUCAAGCAAUUCUCUGCCUCAGCCUCCCGAGUGGCUGGGAUUACAGGCGCCCGCCACCACGCCCAGCUAUUUUUUUUGUAUUUUUAGUAGAGACGGGGUUUCAGCAUCUUGGCCAGGCUGGUCUUGAACUCUUGACCUGGUGAUCCACCCGCCUCAGCCUCCCAAAGUGCUGGGAUUACAGGCGUGAGUCACCGCGCCCGGCCGAGUUUUCUCUUUUAUUAAAAAAAGAAAAUCAACAACAAAGUUUUGCAGGAUUGUAGUGAGUGAAUAUAAAGUAUGUGAUUCGGUAUCCGGAACAUAAAAGUUCUCAGGAAAUCACGAUUAAUAAUAAACAGUAACAAAUAAUGAUCCGUCCAAACCAAGAGAAGAUAAUCUCCUUUGGCUGUAAGAAAAUAUGACUUAAACAGCUCUUUCCUUCAAGUCCUCCUUCCCACUUUAACAGGCCACACUGUACUGAGCAUCUAGAAGGCUCUCUGCCAACAGCAGCGCCGGUUUGUUAUCUAAGUGAGUCUUGGUCAUUAAGCAAAGUCAGGGUCUUUGUUAUUGGUUUCAUCCCCACUGGCCUUGCAGAGAAAGCCCAAGCCACAGGGUACAUCUCUGCCUGCCAAUGCCCUGUAUUCCUGAAACAAAAAGGCAAUAAAAAACACGACAGUUAGUGUCAGACACGGAGCCCGGGCUUGGGAGCGGGCGGGGAGGGCUCCCUUUUCUCCUUGUUCCGCAGCACCUGUCACGGAGACGGGAGAUGGGGGCCUGGCCCGGGAUGGGCAGCCCUGCUUCCUCCUGCCCCCGCCGCGCUCCCUCCCGAGCUGCUCCGGCCCCGGCUCCCAGCAACGCGGCGGCGGCCCGCUCUGCGACUAGAAAGCGCCCAUUGAGGGCUUGCAGCUGCCAGUGCCGCUUGCCCAAAUCCGACAUAAAGCCUCGACUUCAGCUCCAGUGAAGAAGACACUACUGUGUUCUUCCUGAGCCCCAGUCAUGGCUAUAAAACAUUAAAAGCAAACUGGCGAUUGUUAAACACUGCAUUUGUUUACACCCCGAAUCUUGAAUCACAAUGGGGCAGCUUGGGCUGCCCAGGCCCGGCGAGGCCGGGCUUUCUCCUAGACACUGAAGUCUGUUCUCCGACCCAAGGGACACAAGAAAAGGCUGUACAAUGGACAUGGAAACGUAGAGAUGAAUAAAUAAGUCACAGGCCUUGGUCCCUUGGAGUUCACAGUCUAAUGGGGAAGACAGGAUAUAAGCAAGUAGUUUCAGCAUAGCUUUGGAAUUGCAUGCAGAGAAGUGAGUGAAGUGAGUGAGGGCCCAGCCAAGGCUGGAGUAAAGUGGCAUGAUCUCGGCUCACUGCAGCCUCCGCCCCCGCCAGGUUCAAGUGAUUCUCCUGCCUCAGCCUCCCGAGUAGCUGGGAUUACAGGCGCAGGCCACCAUGCCCAGGUCACCCGUACUUCAUUUACCAGUCCUUGCUAAGGAUUAUUCAUUAAAACACACAACAGCAACAAUAACCACAAAAGCAACAAUAAAAAUACCUUUGAACUCACUCAAUCUUGAACUAUUGAACAUGCUAAGUCCGUGUCAUUGGCCUACUUAAUCAGCCCUCGAUUGUAACUUGAAGAAGCUUAUUGAUAAGAAAAUAAACUUCUCAUAAAGUAUAACUACUUUCUUAGCAAAACUAUUUGUUUCAUCUUCUCUUUAAAAUUUUUG